GACGAACGCUGGCGGCGUGCUUAACACAUGCAAGUCGAGCGGUAAGGCCCCUUGGGGGUACGACGAGCGGCGAACGGGUGAGUAACACGUGGGUGACCUGCCCUCAGCUCUGGGAUAAGCCUGGGAAACUGGGUCUAAUACCGGAUAUGACUCCAUGACGCAUGUUGUGGGGUGGAAAGCCUUGUGCGGCUGGGGAUGGGCCCGCGGCCUAUCAGCUUGUUGGUGGGGUGAUGGCCUACCAAGGCGACGACGGGUAGCC
rnacentral:rRNA from 1 species